rnacentral:rRNA from 1 species
AAUUGGAGGGCAAGUCUGGUGCCAGCAGCCGCGGUAAUUCCAGCUCCAAUAGCGUAUAUUAAAGUUGUUGCAGUUAAAAAGCUCGUAGUUGAAUUUCGGGAUCAAUAUUUCGGUCAUGCCGUUGGUAUGCACUGUUAUCAUUGAUUUCUCACCUUCUAAAGAACCGUAAUGCCAUUAAUUUGGUGUUACGGGGAAUUAGGACUGUUACCUUGAAAAAAUUAGAGUGUUUAAAGCAGGCUCACGCUUGAAUACAUUAGCAUGGAAUAAUGAAAUAGGACAUCCGAUUCUAUUUUGUUGGUUUCUAGGAUCGAUGUAAUGAUUAAUAGAGAUAGUUGGGGGCAUUAGUAUUCAAUUGUCAGAGGUGAAAUUCUUGGAUUUAUUGAAGACUAACUACUGCGAAAGCAUUUGCCAAGGAUGUUUUCAUUAAUCAAGAACGAAAGUUAGGGGAUCGAAGACGAUCAGAUACCGUCGUAGUCUUAACCAUAAACUAUGCCGACUAGGGAUCGGAUGAUGUUAAUUUUUUAAUGACUCAUUCGGCGCCUUACGGGAAACCAAAGUGU